rnacentral:snoRNA from 1 species
GAUCCCCAAUGAUGUCAGCACUGGGCUCUGAACUCCUGUGACGAAAUCAGUGCCUCCUGGGACAAUGACACCCUGGAGACUGAGGGGGCU